AGGCGACAUCGCCUGCAUUAAUGCCAACUUUUAGCGCACGGCUCUCCCGCAAGAGCCAUUUCCCUGGACCGAAUAUAGGAAUCGUAUUCGGUCUUUUUUU
rnacentral:sRNA from 1 species